GUCGUAGCAGAUCUUCCGGGUGAUCGUCCGCGUAACGGUGGAUGCUGGAUGUGGGGCCCGUUCCACGGGUUCCGUGUCGGAGCUAACGCGUUAAGCAUCCCGCCUGGGGAGUACGGCCGCAAGGCUAAAACUCAAAGAAAUUGACGGGGGCCCGCACAAGCGGCGGAGCAUGCGGAUUAAUUCGAUGCAACGCGAAGAACCUUACCUGGGCUUGACAUGUUCCCGACAGCCGUAGAGAUAUGGCCUCCCUUCGGGGCGGGUUCACAGGUGGUGCAUGGUCGUCGUCAGCUCGUGUCGUGAGAUGUUGGGUUAAGUCCCGCAACGAGCGCAACCCUCGCCCUGUGUUGCCAGCACGUCAUGGUGGGAACUCACGGGGGACCGCCGGGGUCAACUCGGAGGAAGGUGGGGAUGACGUCAGAUCAUCAUGCCCCUUACGUCCAGGGCUUCACGCAUGCUACAAUGGCCGGUACAGCGGGAUGCGACAUGGCGACAUGGAGCGGAUCCCUGAAAACCGGUCUCAGUUCGGAUUGGAGUCUGCAACCCGACUCCAUGAAGGCGGAGUCGCUAGUAAUCGCGGAUCAGCAACGCCGCGGUGAAUGCGUUCCCGGGCCUUGUACACACCGCCCGUCAAGUCAUGAAAGUGGGCAGCACCCGAAGCCGGUGGCCUAACCCCUUGUGGGAUGGAGCCGUCUAAGGUGAGGCUCGUGAUUGGGACUAAGUCGUAACAAGGUAGCCGUACCGGAAGGUGCGGCUG
rnacentral:rRNA from 1 species